rnacentral:rRNA from 1 species
GGGGAGAAUUCUUCCGCGACAAUGGGGCGGAAAGCCUGACUGCGAGCACACGCCGCGUGAGUGAUGAAGGUUUUCGGAUCGUAAAGCUCUGUUGCCAGGGAAGAACGGCCGGCAGAUUAACUGCUUCCGGAGUGACGGUACCUGAAAAAAAAGCCCCGGCUAACUACGUGCCAGCAGCCGCGGUAAUUAAAAACAAG